rnacentral:pre_miRNA from 1 species
UUGGGUGAAAUCAAUGUAGGACAUAACACUUUGAAAAUGGAACCUACAUAAAGUGGUGGGACAUAUAUUGAUUUCACCCAA